CACUUAGAUGUUCUGGGCGGCCCGCGCACUACAAUGGCGCUUUCAGCGAGUUCCUAUGUUGAAUUUUCCUUGGUAUUCUUGGAAGCGGCGUCUUGACUUGGGAUAGAUCCUUGUAAUUGUUGGUUUUGAACGAGGAAUUCCUUGUAAUCGCGGUUGAUCAGCUCGCGUUGAAUACGUCCCUGCCCUUUGUACACACCGCCCGUCGCUCCUACCGAUGAAUCGUCCGGUGAAGUUCACAGAGUGGCGGUUCGUGGAGUUGCUCGCGAAGUGAAAUGGACCUCACGAUUUAGAGGAAGGAGAAGUCGUAACA
rnacentral:rRNA from 1 species